UACGGAGGGUGCAAACGUUGCUCGGAAUCAUUGGGCGUAAAGCGCACGUAGGCGGCCUGAUAAGUCGGGUGUGAAAGCCCUCGGCUCAACCGGGGAAGUGCAUUCGAACCUGUCAGGCUUGAGUAUGGGAGAGGGUUGCGGAAUUCCCGGUGUAGAGGUGAAAUUCGUAGAUAUCGGGGGGAACACCAGAGGCGAAGGCGGCAGCCUGGACCAAUACUGACGCUGAGGUGCGAAAGCGUGGGGAGCAAACAGG
rnacentral:misc_RNA from 1 species